rnacentral:rRNA from 1 species
GGAGUCUGGUCCGUGUCUCAGUACCAGUGUGGGGGACCUUCCUCUCAGAACCCCUACUGAUCGAAGGCUCGGUGGGCCGUUACCCCGCCGACUGCCUAAUCAGACGCAUCCCCAUCCCUUAGCGAAGAUUCUUUGCUCCAACUUAGAUGCCUGCAUUGGAGAACAUAGGGAAUUAAUCCGACUUUCGCCGGGCUGUGCCCUACUACGGGGAAGGUUGGAUACGCGUUACUCACCCGUGCGCCGGUCGCCAUCACAGAUAGCAAGCUACCUGCAUGCUGCCCCUCGACUUGCAUGUGUUAAGCCUGUAGCUAGCGUUCAUC